UACGGGGGGGGCAAGCGUUGUUCGGAAUUACUGGGCGUAAAGGGCGCGUAGGCGGCCUUCUAAGUCGGACGUGAAAUCCCUCGGCUUAACCGAGGAACUGCGUCCGAUACUGAAAGGCUUGAAUCCGGGAGAGGGAUGUGGAAUUCCAGGUGUAGCGGUGAAAUGCGUAGAUAUCUGGAGGAACACCGGUGGCGAAGGCGGCAUCCUGGACCGGCAUUGACGCUGAGGCGCGAAAGCUAGGGGGAGCAAACGGGG
rnacentral:rRNA from 1 species